AAAAUCUGCUUAAUGUCAAUACGUCUUCAAUUCAAGCAAUUACUACAUAUGAAAGUCUAGUAAGUUUAUAUCCAUUACAUAGAAAAAAAACAAGAUUUCAAUCGAAAUCAAUUCUCGCAUUUUGAUUGGGAAGAUAAUCAGCCCACAUUAAAUCAGCAAUCGCAUUUCUCUUAUUAGACCACACUUCCUGAUUUGUGAAAGAUAUGUGAGCAUUUGGAGUUUCAUCUUCAGGUACAUCAACAUGCGUAGGGUUAACCUCAUCAUCACUACUAUCUAAGUCGUCCUCCUCACAAACAUCUUCAACGUCAUCAAUCCUUAAGAAGUUGCGGAUGGCAGAUGAGGCAAGGACUAUCUUUGCUUGUGUGUCAAUGUCGUGAUAGGGUUGAUGUCUCAAAUAUGCAAAUCUUUUUUUAGCAACCCAAUUGUACGCUCAAUAACAUUACGUAGAGAUGAAUGUCGAAAAUUGAACAACUCCUUACUACUUUCAGGACGUUGACCUU
rnacentral:lncRNA from 1 species